GACGAACGCUGGCGGCGUGCUUAACACAUGCAAGUCGAACGGUAAGGCACUUCGGGGUACACGAGUGGCGAACGGGUGAGUAACACGUGGGUGAUCUGCCCUGCACUUCGGGAUAAGCCUGGGAAACUGGGUCUAAUACCGGAUAGGACUCCGGACUGCAUGGUCUGGGGUGGAAAGCUUUUGCGGUGUGGGAUGGGCCCGCGGCCUAUCAGCUUGUUGGUGGGGUGAUGGCCUACCAAGGCGACGACGGGUAGCCGGCCCGAGAGGGUGACCGGCCACACUGGGACUGAGAUACGGCCCAGACUCCUACGGGAGGCAGCAGUGGGGAAUAUUGCACAAUGGGCGCAAGCCUGAUGCAGCGACGCCGCGUGAGGGAUGACGGCCUUCGGGUUGUAAACCUCUUUCAGCAUCGACGAAGCGAAAGUGACGGUAGGUGCAGAAGGAGGACCGGCCAACUACGUGCCAGCCGCCGCCGUAA
rnacentral:rRNA from 1 species